rnacentral:rRNA from 1 species
AUUGAACGCUGGCGGCAGGCCUAACACAUGCAAGUCGAACGAGUGGCGGACGUGUGAGUAAUGUCUGGGAAACUGCCCGAUGGAUGGGGAUAACUACUGGAAACGUUAGCUAAUACCGCAUACCAUCGGAUGUUCCCAGAUGUGAUUAGCUAGUGGGUGGGGUAACGGUUCACCUAGGCGACGAUCCCUAGCUGGUCUGAGAGGAUGACCAGCCAAACUGGAACUGAGACACGGUCCAGACUCCUACGGGAGGCAGCAGUGGGGAAUAUUGAACAAUGGGGGCAAGCCUGAUGCAGCCAUGCCGCGUGUAUGAAGAAGGACUUCGGGUUGUAAAGUACUUUCAGCGAGUAGGCGUUACUCGCAGAAGAAGCACCGGCUAACUCCGUGCCAGCAGCCGCGGUAAUAC